rnacentral:rRNA from 1 species
AUCGGAAUUACUGGGCGUAAAGCGUGCGUAGGCGUCUUGGUAAGUCCUGUUGUGAAAGCCCCGGGCUCAACCUGGGAACGGCAUCCGGAACUGUCAGGCUAGAGUGCAGGAGAGGAAGGURGAAUUCCCGGUGUAGCGGUGAAAUGCGUAGAGAUCGGGAGGAAUACCAGUGGCGAAGGCGGCCUUCUGGACUGACACUGACGCUGAGGUACGAAAGCGUGGGUAGCAACCAGGAUUAGAUACCCUGGUAGUCCACGCCGUAAACGAUGUCGACUAGCCGUUGGGGUCCUCGAGACCUCUGUGGCGCAG